rnacentral:rRNA from 1 species
CAGCAGCCGCGGUAAUACGAAGGGGGCUAGCGUUGCUCGGAAUGACUGGGCGUAAAGGGCGCGUAGGCGGCGGCCAAAGUCAGGCGUGAAAUUCCCGGGCUCAACCUGGGGGCUGCGUUUGAUACUUGGUUGCUUGAGUGGGGAAGAGGGUCGUGGAAUUCCCAGUGUAGAGGUGAAAUUCGUAGAUAUUGGGAAGAACACCGGUGGCGAAGGCGGCGACCCGGUCCUUUACUGACGCUGAGGCGCGAAAGCGUGGGGAGCAAACAGGAUUAGAUACCCCGGUAGUCCCUGUCUCUUAUAA